rnacentral:rRNA from 1 species
CUACGGGUCGCACCAGUAGGGAAUAUUGGACAAUGGGGGAAACCCUGAUCCAGCAAUGCAGCGUGAGUGACGAAGGCCUUAGGGUUGUAAAACUCUUUCAUCGGUGAGGAUAAUGACAGUAGCCGAAGAAGAAGGACCGGCUAAUUCCGUGCCAGCAGCCGCGGUAAUACGGAAGGUCCUAGCGUUGUUCGGAAUUACUGGGCGUAAAGCGCAUGUAGGUGGAACAAAAAGUUAGAAGUGAAAUCCCUGGGCUCAACCUAGGAAUUGCUUUUAAAACUUUUGUUCUGGAAUUCAGGAGAGGAAAAUGGAAUUUCCAGUGUAGAGGUGAAAUUCGUAGAUAUUGGAAGGAACACCAGUGGCGAAGGCGAUUUUCUGGACUGAUAUUGACGCUGAGAUGCGAAGGCAUGGGUAGCAAACGGGAUUAGAUACCCCGGUAGUC